rnacentral:rRNA from 1 species
GACGAACGCUGGCGGCGUGCUUAACACAUGCAAGUCGAACGGAAAGGCCCUGCUUUUGUGGGGUGCUCGAGUGGAGACCGGGUGAGUAACCCGUGAGUUACGUGCAAUUGCCUUUGGGGUGACUUCAGGCCACUGGGGCUAAUAGCGGCUAGGAGCUCUUGCUGCAUGGUGGGGGCUGGAAAGUUUCGGCGGUUGGGGGUGGACUCGCGGCGUAUCAGGUUGUUGGUGGGGUAGUGGCUUACCAUGGCUUGGACGGGUAGCCGGCCUGCGAGGGUGACCGGCCACAUUAGGACUGAGAUGAGGCACAGACUCCAACGGGAGGCAACAGUGGAGAAGAGUGCACAAGAGGCGGAAGCCUGAUGCAACAACGCCGCGUGCGGGAUGACAGGCUGCGGUCUGUAAACCACUGUCGCCUGUGACGAAGCGUGAGUGACGGUAAUGGGUAAAGAAGCACCGGCUAACUACGUG